rnacentral:lncRNA from 1 species
UGCGCCUAAAGUUAAGUCAGGCUGUGGACAGGGUGGGUAGUAAUGGUUAAGCAUGAGCAAACCCUUUGAGCAAUCCAUCUCAUUCAGAUGGUUAGGUUCUAACCCUAGAGCUUCUGAUAACAUCUCAAAGAGAAACUCUCCCAAAUUCAUUACAUGCUUUGUGUAUUCCAACAUAACAUCCCUGAUACACUUUCCAUUAUGUGAAUAGAGCUAGAUAACAUAUCAAACAAGGCUGAGUUGGAGAUUUAUGUGGUCAUAACAUUUUCGAGUUAAUCUUAUUGAACUUUUUUGAUAAUUUUGGAGAUCAUGCAACCUAUGUAUAAUAUAGCUUUUCAAAAUUUGGAAACCAAACUGAAUGUUUCAUUCAUCUGAUGUGCCGAGGACCGUGUUGGAGUUAAAAGUUUCAGAACGGAAAUAUGAAAAAGAUUUAAAUAAUAUAUAAAAGAUUUUAGUCAUUUCACUUAAUCCUCAAUUGAUUUUAACUUGAAAACCAAACAAACUUAACUUGGAAUCAUAGCGGACGUACACUGAUUUGAACUACUGCACUUAACGCCAAUUAGUUUUUAAUUUAGAAGUCCAAAAAACUUAAUAAACAGGUUUAAGCAACGGAGUCAUCAUCAUACCUACAAAUCUCUGGCAAGUCCUCUGGUUUUGGAGGAUCUGGAGCUAUGGUACAAGAGAAAGUGUCUAUCCAGUUAGCAGCUGGAGAGCUGAAGAGAUUGAAAUUACUUGAAUACCGAAACGUUCUACUGAAAUCUCUCCCGUAGUAUUGUUUCCUCACUUCUGGUGGCUGCUCAUGAAACCCACGAACUCCAUCUUUCAUCCUCUCGAGAAGAUCGAGAGGAACUCCAUGGUUAAUCACCUGGAAGAAACCCCACUUCUCUGACGCCUCUUUAAUCCCUUGAACCACGUUCUUGCGCUUAGUCUCGUCCUCGAAGACUCGUCCUCCGAGAUCAAACGUUGGGAUCGUUGUGAGAUGUUGCGAGUUAGAGGAAAGUGGUUUAGGGUUUGAUAGUUUGAGAGAUGAGUGGUGGAAUAUGCGUGGAACCUCUGAGACUCCGGCUUCUACGAGUCCUUUUACACCUGUCUUGGUCUCGUCGAAGGUUUUAAGCUCACUGACACGAUCAUAUGAAGCAAGCUUCGUCGUCUCCAUGUUUUUUUUUUCUUUUUCUGUUUAUCAAAUAACAGAAGAAUCUGAUAAUAAACGUAACCCACAAAGAAAGAAAGAAACUGUCUUCAUGGGGUUUGGAGAUGAGACAAGUGGUUACAGCAAAACCAUAGAUCGGAGAUAAGGUUUGUAAGAAGGAAGAAGACAACGGCUUGGGACUGUACCCCCUGGGCCACUGGCUUUGACACUGUCAUUUUAAACAAUAUAUACUUGUUCUUGUUCCGCGUCAGAUUCAUCAUAAAUAAUGUUCAAAGCACUCAGAAGCAGAACUUUACAAAUAUUUUUCUGAACAAGUAAUGGUGAACAAUAACCUAACAAAAUUCGUUGAGAUUAUUUGUGUUUAAUACUCUGUUUCACAGAGAUACAUUUUUCUAGUGUUCUCGCACAUAUUAAAAAAUAUAUUAAAUUAUUAUAAUAAAUUUUCAUUUUCUAUAUUUUUUAUUUUUCAAUAAUUUUUAAUUAAUAUUAAUUCAAUAAAGUCAAUUAACUUUUUUGAAGAUCAUAAUUUUUUCAUAGAAAAUAUAAAACCUUGUCUUUGUGAAACAGAUUUUAUUUUCUAAAAUAUCUAACUUAACGAAACGGAGGGAGUAAUAUAUUCUGCUUUACAUGAUCUUUCAUUCCACUAACAUAAACCAAAAAUCCGAACCAAAAUUCUGAGCCAAAAUGGUGAACCGAAAUAACCAAACUUAUUUUCUAAAAUUUUAACCAAUUUAGCCGAAUUCAUAAGUCUAGGUUAAGUUCAGUGAAUUUUUUUGAAAUUGAAAUAACUGAAAACGGUUCAAUUCGGCCAAACCAAACUAUUCGAGUUCCAAACAAACCGACCCGGAAAAAAUCCGAACGUGCAUGCCUAUCAUGACUCAUGAGCCGUGAAUAUACUUUUUUCAGCUUUAUCGGAACUUGAUAAGAUUCUUAGGAGUGAAGCAUAAAUAAAGAUGCUUAUGAACCUCUUGGGAAUUCUUUUAUUACAUAUAGUUUCAUGUCGCUUAUGUUUUGAGAUAGCUGCAGCUCACUAUGUUCAUAUUUUAAAAUGGAGCAAAGCAGAGGUUCCGUCUAGACCUUUGGCAUUGACGUGAGCAGAGUAGUCUCUAAUGGUGAUCUCUCUGUACCUUGGAGGGUUUUCUUCAGACACAAGCUCUCUAAUGGGUCCGUACAACCUAGGAUUCGGUCUUACACCAGUGGUGAAGAAACACGCAACCGAGACUCGACCUCUGGUGGCUCUAUUUGCUAAUACACGAUGCUCCAAACUAAUGAACUUGUCGUUUGUUAUAAGCUGCAUCACACCACCAAAAAUAAAAUACAACCUUUGAACAAAGAGGAAGAACAUUCUAUACGAUGCAAAACAGAGAAAAAGGCAGUGAUUAUGCAAACUAACUUGUAGAAGAUCUCCGAUGUUGAUAAUGAGUGCACCGGGAACAUGAGGAACAUCGUACCAGUGCCCUUCACGGUUGAUUUGAAGCCCUUCAAUUUCAUCUGGAAGAAGAACCGUAAGGAAAGAGUUGUCUGAAUGCUGAGUUGCGCCUAAAGUUAAGUCAGGCUGUGGACAGGGUGGGUAGUAAUGGUUAAGCAUAAGCAAACCCUUUGAGCAAUCCAUCUCAUUCAGAUGGUUAGGUUCUAACCCUAGAGCUUCUGAUAACAUCUCAAAAAGAAACUCUCCCAAAUUCACCACAUGCUUUGUGUAUUCCAACAUAACAUCCCUGAAACAAUUCACCAUGUCCAGAGUAAAAUAAAACAUAUUUGAGUUGGUCUUAAUAUUUUUUUUCAUAUAAUUGGGGGACCAUGCAACUUAGGCCUGCAAUUUUGUCCAAACCAGCCGAACCAAACCGAAAUUUUGGUUUUCAGUUCGGUUACGGUUAUGAAAUCUGUUUUCAGUUUGGUUAGAUUCGGUUUUCGAUUUUCAAAAAUAUAAAAAACAACCAAAUUAUCCAAAAUAACCAAAAGUAAUCAUAAUAACAGGACUGGAUUAACCUAACUAAUGGAAAAUAACCUAAUUUAACCAAACUAACCAAAAAUAUCUUGAGUUUUUAGAAAAUUAUACUGAAAUCUAACUGAAAUGGAAAUAAAACUAAAAACCAAAAUUAACCAAAAACUGCACCGAACCAAACCAAAUUUUUUGUUUACUUCGGCGGGAUUGUGGCCGAACUAAAUACUCAACCCGAACUAACUGAAUAAACUGAAUCUGCAAGGGUAAUGCAACCUAUGUAUAAUAGCUCUUUAAAUUUUGAGAACCAAACCAUGUUUCUAGAAUCGGUCAUGUUAUCAAAGCAGGUUAAGCAAUGGGGUCAUCAUAUCAUACCUACAAAUCUCUGGCAAGUCCUCUGGUUUCGGAGGAUCUGGAGCUAUGGUACAAGAGAAAGUAUCUCUCCAGUUAGCCGCUGGAGAGCUGAAGAGAUCAAAGUUACUUGAAUACCGAAACGUUCUACUGAAAUCUCGCCCGUAGUAUUGUUUCCUCACUUCUGGUGGCUGCUCAUGAAACCCACGAACUCCAUCUUUCAUCCUCUCGAGAAGAUCGAGAGGAACUCCAUGGUUAAUCACCUGGAAGAAACCCCACUUCUCUGACGCCUCUUUAAUCCCUUGAAUCACGUUCUUGCGCUUAGUCUCGUCCUCGAAGACUCGUCCUCCGAGAUCAAACGUUGGGAUCGUCGUGAAGUCAGAGGAAAGUGGUUUAGGGUUUGAUAGUUUGAGAGAUGAGUGAUGGAAUAUUCGUGGAACCUCUGAGACUCCGGCGUCUACGAGUCCUUUUACACCUGUCUUGGUCUCGUCGAAGGCUUUAAGCUCGCUGACACGAUCGAAUGAAGCUAUCUUCAUCGUCUCCAUUGAACUUUGUUUAUCAGAUAACAGAUCAGUCUGAUAAUAAACGUAAUUCAGAAAGAAAAAAAGAAACUUUCUUCAUGGGGUUUGGAGAUAAGACAAGUGGUUACAGCAAAACCAUAGAUCAGAGAUAAGGUUUGUAAGAAGGAAGAAGACAACGGCUUGGGAGAGUACCCCCUGGCCCACUGGCUUUAACACAGUCUUGUUAACCAAGUAAUCGUUGUUGGAUAAUUCCAAGCUUGUGGAAACUUAACAUAUUAUUAGAUGUUUAAUAUGUUAAGAUAAACACAAUAAGGAAACCUAGAAAUAAGAAAAGGAAGUUUCUAUUUAGGUUAGGUUUGUGUUUUCCAUAUCCCACAUGUUAAAGGGAAUUGUCUUUCAUAUAAAUAUAGGUCUAAUGGAGAGGUGUUCCAUAUGAUCUAAGUGAAACAUAUUGAGAGCUUUAGUUUUGAGUAGUUUCUAAAGCUAAUAAGAAAAGUUGUUCUUAUAACUUUUUGUGUUUCUAAGAGAUCUGAAUUGGUAUCAGAGCCUCAGGUUGGAGACUCGAUUUAAGCUUAAGUUGUAGCUUAAGAUCCUGGUGCUUGUGAACAAGAGAUCGCGACGGCAAGAUGGCUGACGUGACUAGGGCUCCACGCACGAAGGACUUUGGAUCUACAUCCAUCCAAUGUCCGAUGUUGUCAUCGACAAACUACACAGUUUGGUCGAUGAGGAUGAAGGUUCUACUACGUGUUCAUGAAGUGUGGGACACAAUCGAACCCGGUUCAGAUGAUCAAAAGAAGAACGAUGUUGCGAUAGCUCUUUUGUUUCAAUCUGUUCCAGAGACUUUGAUUCUCCAGGUGGGAGAACAAACCGCAUCAAAAGAGAUCUGGAACGCCAUCAAGUCGCGACACCUAGGAGCUGAUCGUGUAAGGGAGGCGAGACUUCAGACGUUGAUGACAGAGUUUGAUAGGUUGAAGAUGGAUGAUGCAGAUACGGUCGAUGACUUCGCGGGGAAGAUAUCGGGCCUAUCAUCCAAAGCAACCUCGUUGGGAGAAAACAUAGAAGAAUCCAAGAUGGUCAAGAAGUUCUUGAAGGGUCUUCCAAGACACAAGUAUAUCCAGAUCGUAGCAUCACUUGAGCAAGUCCUAGAUCUCAACUCGACGGGGUUUGAAGACAUAGUUGGAAGGCUUAAGGCGUACGAGGAGCGUGUAGGAGAAGAAACUCAGAAAGAAGACCAAGGGAAGCUGAUGUUUUCGAACAAUGAAGAGCAUAGUCAGAGGGGCUAUGAGAAUCCCGUGGUAGAGGAAGAGGAAGGAACGGUAGAGGCAGAGGUCGAGGUAGGUCACACAACCAAAACCGUGCGUCACACACCGAAGAUAACAACUCGAAGAAGAAUCGUUCAAAGCUGAUAUGUUGGAGAUGUGACAAGCCUGGUCACUACGCAACUGUCUGUCCCGAAAAGACAGAGAAGAAUCAAGAAACUAACCUAAACGAGACAGAAGAGGCUGAUGCACUCUAUGUACACGAGGUGGUGUUUUUGAACGAAGAUAAGGUGAUUCCGAAGAAUCUUGAUAUCAACAAAGGCAGUGCAAGUGUCUGGUAUUUGGAUAAUGGAGCGAGCAAUCACAUGACAGGGAACAAGGAGUUCUUUUCGAGUUUGAAUCUCAACACCAAAGGGAAGGUGAAGUUUGGUGAUGGAUCGUGUGUUGACAUUAUAGGAAAGGGUGUGGUUACUUUUGUGUGCAAGACUGGAGAGAAGAAGGCACUCAAAGACAUAUACUACAUACCCGAUCUGAAGCACAAUAUAUUGAGUCUUGGGCAAGCAACAGAGAACGGAUGUGAGGUUAACAUGAAAGAUGUCUACUUAACGCUCACAGAUUCGCAUGGAAGGUUGCUAGUUCGUGUGACAAGAUCUCCAAACCGUCUCUACAAGACCCCUAUGGAGAUAAGCUACCCGGAAUGUUUACAUGUCAGGGACGAAGAUGCUACAUGGAGGUGGCAUGCUCGACAAGGACAUAUAUGCUAUGGAGUGAUGAACAACAUGGUAAGGAAGGAGAUGGUCGUAGGAAUGCAGAGUGUAACACACGAAGAAGGCGUGUGUGACACAUGUCUCGCAGAGAAGCAAACGAGACACUCAUUCCCGAGUGUAACACACAAAGAAGGCGUGUGUGACACAUGUCUCGCAGGGAAGCAAGCCAGAGACACAUUCCUGACUAAGGCCAUGAUUUGUACAUCAAAGCCAGUGAGAUUAUUGCUUGGAAAUUUGUGUGGAUGUAUCACACCACCAACACCAGCAGAUAAUCGUGAGGCAUUCUAUCGGUUCAAAAGAUCUCACACCGAUAGAGGAGGAGAGGUUGCCUCAGAUGUGCUCAAUCUAGGAUGCACCGAUAGAGGAGGAGAGAUUGCCUCAGAUGAGUUCAACCUAUCUUGUGAAGAAGAUUGGGUUGAAGCUAUGGAAGACGAGUUGGAGUCUAUCACAAGAAACAAGAUAUGGGAGCUUGUAGAUAGACCGACUGGUUCUGAGAAGAAAGGAGAAGAGGAUCGAAUUUGUGUGUUACACAAGACGUUGCAUGUGUUACGCCAGGCACCCAGAGCAUGGAGUGUAAAACUCGAUCAGGUUCUCAAGGAGAUGAGAUUUGAGAAGUGCACAAAGGAACCAUCAGUGUACUACAAGACUGAAGGAGGAGACGUCUUGAUCAUUGCCAUCUACGUUGAUGAUCUAUUUGUGACAAGAACUUCACUUAAGGUGAUUAGGCAAUUCAAGGAGGAGAUGUCUAAGAAGUUCGAGAUGUCAGAUCUAGGUAAGUUAACGUACUACCUUGGCAUAGAGGUGAUUCAAGGAGCAGACGGAAUCAGUAUAAAGCAAGAGAGGUAUACUCAAGGAAUCCUGUGUGACACAAAGAUGGAAGUGUGUAACACGACUCACGUAGGAGUGGGCAACACGACUCACGGAGGAGUGUGUGACACAAAGGUGGAAGCGUGUGACACAACGCACGUACCAAUGGAGUCAAGGUUCUCAAAGGAUGAAGAUGAACCAGAGAUAAAUCAGUUGGGUGUUGAGCAGAAGGCCGACAUCCUUCCCAGAGCUCAUGUACGCAAGAUGGCGGAUGUGACCAGAGUUAUCAUCGCAGUGAGCUUCAGCCACAAGACUCAUCGCAACUUAAGUAAAGAGGUCAUGAGAAGGUUCUACAAGAACUGGGCCGAUUCUAAGAAGAAGCGGUACGGAAGCAAGGAGAGCAUCCGGUCUAACCUUGAGAAAGAUGUGAAUCCAAUGGGUGGAUUUGCACACCAUGGUGUGGUGGAGGAUGAUUACUUGAUGAUUGAGUUCAAGCAAAUGAGGAGCUUAAUCGGAGUUCAAGAAAUUGAUCUCCCUAAUUCAAGUUGGAAUUAAGGGGGUGAAUGUUGGAUAAUUCCAAGCUUGUGGAAACUUAACAUAUUAUUAGAUGUUUAAUAUGUUAAGUUUCCACAAGCUUGGAAUUAUCCAACAUUCACCCCCUUAAUUCCAACUUGAAUUAGGGAGAUCAAUUUCUUGAACUCCGAUUAAGCUCCUCAUUUGCUUGAACUCAAUCAUCAAGUAAUCAUCCUCCACCACACCAUGGUGUGCAAAUCCACCCAUUGGAUUCACAUCUUUCUCAAGGUUAGACCGGAUGCUCUCCUUGCUUCCGUACCGCUUCUUCUUAGAAUCGGCCCAGUUCUUGUAGAACCUUCUCAUGACCUCUUUACUUAAGUUGCGAUGAGUCUUGUGGCUGAAGCUCACUGCGAUGAUAACUCUGGUCACAUCCGCCAUCUUGCGUACAUGAGCUCUGGGAAGGAUGUCGGCCUUCUGCUCAACACCCAACUGAUUUAUCUCUGGUUCAUCUUCAUCCUUUGAGAACCUUGACUCCAUUGGUACGUGCGUUGUGUCACACGCUUCCACCUUUGUGUCACACACUCCUCCGUGAGUCGUGUUGCCCACUCCUACGUGAGUCGUGUUACACACUUCCAUCUUUGUGUCACACAGGAUUCCUUGAGUAUACCUCUCUUGCUUUAUACUGAUUCCGUCUGCUCCUUGAAUCACCUCUAUGCCAAGGUAGUACGUUAACUUACCUAGAUCUGACAUCUCGAACUUCUUAGACAUUGCCUCCUUGAAUUGCCUAAUCACCUUAAGUGAAGUUCUUGUCACAAAUAGAUCAUCAACGUAGAUGGCAAUGAUCAAGACGUCUCCUCCUUCAGUCUUGUAGUACACUGAUGGUUCCUUUGUGCACUUCUCAAAUCUCAUCUCCUUGAGAACCUGAUCGAGUUUUACACUCCAUGCUCUGGGUGCCUGGCGUAACACAUGCAACGUCUUGUGUAACACACAAAUUCGAUCCUCUUCUCCUUUCUUCUCAGAACCAGUCGGUCUAUCUACAAGCUCCCAUAUCUUGUUUCUUGUGAUAGACUCCAACUCGUCUUCCAUAGCUUCAACCCAAUCUUCUUCACAAGAUAGGUUGAACAAUAACCUAACAAAAUGCGUUGAGAUUCCUCGUGUUUUAUAUAUUCUGCUUUACAGGCUCUUUCAUUCCACUAACAAAAACCAAAAAUCCGAACCAAAAUUUUGAGCCAAAAUAGCGAACCGAAAUAACCAAACUUAUUUUCUACAUUUUAACCGAUUUAAAUCGAAAUUUAGCCGAAUUCAUAAAUCUCGGUUAAGUUCACUGAAUCUUUUUGAAAUUGAAAAAAAUCGAAAAACCAAACCGAACAUUUUUUGGUUCAAUUCGGCCAAACCAAACUAUCCGAUUUCCAAACAAACCGACCCGAAAAAUCCGAACAUGCAUAUGCCUAUGACUCGAGCAAUGAAUAUACUCUUUUCCAGCUUUAACGGAACUUUAUAAGAUUUUUAAGAGUAAAAAUCAUAACUAAAGAUGUUUAUGAACCUCUUUACAAUAAUUCUCGUAUUACAUAUAGUUUCAUUUCGAAUAUUUUUUGAGAAAGUAAAGUAGCUCACUAUGUUCAUAUUUUAAAAUGGAGCAAAGCAGAGGUUCCGUCUAGACCUUUGGCAUUGAAGUAAACAGAGUAGUCUCUAAUGGUGAUCUCUCUGUACCUUGGAGGGUUUUCUUCAGACACAAGCUCUCUAAUGGGUCCGUACAACCUAGGAUUCGGUCUUACACCAGUGGUGAAGAAACACGCAACCGAGACUCGAGCUCUGGUGGCUCUAUUUGCUAAUACACGAUGCUCCAAACUAAUGAACUUGUCGUUUGUUAUAAGCUGCAUCACAACACCAAAAAUAAAAUACAACCUUUGAACAAAGAGGAAGAACAUUCUAUACGAUGCAAAACAGAGAAAAAGGCAGUGAUUGUGCAAACUAACUUGUAGAAGAUCUCCGAUGUUGAUAAUGAGUGCACCAGGUACAUGAGGAACAUCGUACCAGUACCCUUCACGGUUGAUUUGAAGCCCUUCAAUCUGAUCUGGAAGAAGAACCGUCAGGAAAGAGUUGUCUGAAUGCUGAGUUGCGCCCAAAGUUAAGUCAGGCUGUGGACAGGGUGGGUAGUAAUGGUUAAGCAUAAGCAAACCCUUUGAGCAAUCCAUCUCAUUCAGAUGGUUAGGUUCUAACCCUAGAGCUUCUGAUAACAUCUCAAAGAGAAACUCUCCCAAAUUCAUCACAUGCUUUGUGUAUUCCAACAUAACAUCCCUGAAACACUUUCCAUUAUGUGAAUAGAGCUAGAUAACAUAUCAAACAAGGCUGAGUUGGAGAUUUAUGUGGUCAUAACAUUUUCGAGUUAAUCUUAUUGAACUUUUUUGAUAAUUUUGGAGAUCAUGCAACCUAUGUAUAAUAUAGCUUUUCAAAAUUUGGAAACCAAACUGAAUGUUUCAUUCAUCUGAUGUGCCGAGGACCGUGUUGGAGUUAAAAGUUUCAGAACGGAAAUAUGAAAAAGAUUUAAAUAAUAUAUAAAAGAUUUUAGUCAUUUCACUUAAUCCUCAAUUGAUUUUAACUUGAAAACCAAACAAACUUAACUUGGAAUCAUAGCGGACGUACACUGAUUUGAACUACUGCACUUAACGCCAAUUAGUUUUAAUUUAGAAGUCCAAAAAACUUAAUAAACAGGUUUAAGCAACGGAGUCA